rnacentral:rRNA from 1 species
UACGGAGGAGGCAAGCGUUAUCCGGAAUUAUUGGGCGUAAAGCGUCCGCAGGUGGCACUUCAAGUCUGUCGUCAAAGACUGGGGCUUAACCCUGGAAAGGCGGUGGAAACUGAAGCGCUAGAGUGCGGUAGGGGUAGAGGGAAUUCCCGGUGUAGCGGUGAAAUGCGUAGAGAUCGGGAAGAACAUCGGUGGCGAAAGCGGCGCGCUGGACCACUACUGACGCUGAGGAACGAAAGCUAGGGGAGCAAACAGG